GACGAACGCUGGCGGCGUGCCUAAUACAUGCAAGUUGAGCGCUGAAGGUUGGUCCUUGUACCAACUGGAUGAGCAGCGAACGGGUGAGUAACGCGUGGGGAAUCUGCCUUUGAGCGGGGGACAACAUUUGGAAACGAAUGCUAAUACCGCAUAAAAACUUUAAACACAAGUUUUAAGUUUGAAAGAUGCAAUUGCAUCACUCAAAGAUGAUCCCGCGUUGUAUUAGCUAGUUGGUGAGGUAAAGGCUCACCAAGGCGAUGAUACAUAGCCGACCUGAGAGGGUGAUCGGCCACAUUGGGACUGAGACACGGCCCAAACUCCUACGGGAGGCAGCAGGAGGGAAUCUUCGGCAAUGGACGAAAGUCUGACCGAGCAACGCCGCGGGAGUGAAGAAGGUUUUCGGAUCGUAAAACUCUGUUGGUAGAGAAGAACGUUGGUGAGAGUGGAAAGCUCAUCAAGUGACGGUAACUACCCAGAAAGGGACGGCUAACUACGUG
rnacentral:rRNA from 1 species